ACUCAAAUGAAUUGACGGGGGCCCGCACAAGCGGUGGAGCAUGUGGUUUAAUUCGACGCAACGCGAAGAACCUUACCUGGGCUAGAAAGCACAGGAAUCCGGUCGAAAGGUCGGAGUGCCCUUCGGGGAACCUGUGGUUAGGUGCUGCAUGGCUGUCGUCAGCUCGUGUCGUGAGAUGUUGGGUUAAGUCCCGCAACGAGCGCAACCCUUGCCGUUAGUUGCCAUCAUUCAGUUGGGAACUCUAACGGGACUGCCAGCCUUCAAGCUGGAGGAAGGUGAGGACGACGUCAAGUCAUCAUGGCCCCUAUGUCCAGGGCUACACACGUGCUACAAUGGUCGGUACAAAGGGUUGCGAACCCGCGAGGGGGAGCCAAUCCCAAAAAGCCGACCUCAGUACAGAUAGGAGUCUGCAACUCGACUCCUUGAAGUCGGAAUCGCUAGUAAUCCCUGAUCAGCAUGGCAGGGGUGAAUACGUUCCCGGGCCUUGUACACACCGCCCGU
rnacentral:rRNA from 1 species